GAUGGAAGAGGAAAUUACGAAUCAUAUACAAAUCCUGCUGGUGCAGUUAGCAGUUAUGGAAAAGAUUAUGGUCCCGGUGGUUCCAGGCCUGGUAGUGAUGAUCGUUACGGUUAUGACAGCUAUGGAGGCAUGCCCUCCUACAACCAAUCACGCGAUAAUUACGGUGGUUCGACCACGGGCUACGGCCCUCCCCGCGGGGGCGGAGUUCCACCUCCGCGACAUUACUAGCUCGAGAAAGGAAGCGCCAACUGUCAUUUACACAGGUUAAUAUUUACGAGACGUAAUUAGAUUCGUUUAACUGUCCAAUUUUUGUAGGAAUACUUGUAUCAGUGAUUAUGAUUGACAUUUCAUGUUUCGAAAAUGUACAGAUUCACACAAAAGCUUUUUAAAUCAUUAUACCGAAAAUCUAUAGAAUAUGACCGAUAAAUAAUCACAGCCCUUCAUCAUCCAUUUUGAACUCAUAAUUAUUCAUGUAUUUGGGUAAUUGUUUAAUGUAUUGUUCUUUGCUGUAUAUAGGUAUCAUGUUAUAAAAAAAAUCAUUUCAUUUUUAAAACAACCUCAUUGUAACAAGCUAUUAGUGAAGAGCUUUUGUAAUGUGAUGCGUUGGGUGACGUUUCUUUACAUAGCCGAGUAUUUAACCAUCAACCGAUCAUUUUCACUGAAUUUAUCAAAUGUACGUGAAUUUUUAUUGUGAAACUAUAGUUAAUAUUUCUGUAUUUGCAGUAAGUUGGUGCAUAAAUAUGGUUGUUUUAUCUGAAUUAUUGCUUAAAUAAAAUAAAAGAUUUUAAACUAAA